rnacentral:tRNA from 1 species
GGGUGGCUCAAUGCUUUGAGCAUUGGACUACAAAUCUGGAGAACAGGGUUUGAAUCCCUGUUCAUCCA